rnacentral:misc_RNA from 1 species
CCAAUAGCGUAUAUUAAAGUUGCUGCAGUUAAAAAGCUCGUAGUUGAAUUUCGGGACUAAUAUGUCGGUCGUGCCUCGGUACGUACUGGUAUUUUUGGUUUCUCCCUUCUGACGAACCUUGAUGUCAUUAAUUUGGUGUCUUGGGAAAUCAGGACUGUUACUUUGAAAAAAUUAGAGUGUUUAAAGCAGGCUCACGCUUGAAUACAUUAGCAUGGAAUAAUGAAAUAGGACGUUUGAUUCUAUUUUGUUGGUUUCUAGGAUCGACGUAAUGAUUAAUAGGGAUAGUUGGGGGCAUUAGUAUUCAAUUGUCAGAGGUGAAAUUCUUGGAUUUAUUGAAGACUAACUACUGCGAAAGCAUUUGCCAAGGAUGUUUUCAUUAAUCAAGAACGAAAGUUAGGGGAUCGAAGACGAUCAGAUACCGUCGUAGUCUUAACCAUAAACUAUGCCGACCGGCGAUCCGCUGUCGUUACUUGAAUGACUCAGCGGGCAGCCUCCG